CAUUGGAAAUUUGCCAAUAUAAAAUGUUGCUGAUGAAGUUUUUUUUUAUUGUUUUAUACAAUAAACAAUGUAUAUUCACUUUUACUACCAACCAAUCUUUACCAUUCAGUGAUAACAAGCACUUUAUUUUACAUUUUAAUAUUUUAUGAUGUAUUUAAAAAAGUAGUUAUUGUUGCAAACUCCAUUAGAAAUAUGAAUUGAUAUCAGUUUUGGAAAAAGGGAAACAGGGAUGUGAAAAAAGGGGGGGGGGGGUAAAUUUUUCUCAUUUCAGAUUUCAUAAAUAAAAAGAAAAUUUCUUCAAACAUUUUUUUGAGAGGAUUAAUAUUCAACAGCAUAGUGAAUUGCUCAAAGGCAAAAAAAAAAAAAAGUUCAUUAGACCACAUUCAUUCUGUGUCAGAAACCUAUGCUGUGUCAACUAUUUAAUUUUAGAUUUAAACAGUUUGAAGAAGAAAUCUUUAAUUGAUUUGUAAAAUCUUGACAUUUGUUUUGUGUGAAAAAAACCCAUGUAAUGUCAAAAAUUUGAUCACAAUCCAAAUUCAGAGCUGUAUCACGCUUGAAUGUUUUGUCCAUACUUGCCCCAACUGUUCAGGGUUCGACCUCUGCGGUCGUAUAAAGCUGCGCCCUGCGGAGCACCUGGUUUGAAUUUUGAGUCCUCAGUGCUCUUAAAAUUUGUGCUUGUUUGGUUUUAUAACUAUUUUGGUAUGAGCGUCACUGAUGAGCCUUAUGUAGACGAAACGCGCGUCUGACGUACUAAAUACGAAUCCUGGUACCAUUAAUAACUGUAUCUCUGGCGAUAAACAUGGCAAUAAAUAAUACAGAAACUUUUCAAUUGACAGCAACUGCAUUCUUCCUAUCAUCUCUGUUUUUGUUGCUCAACCAAUUUGUAAAUAUAACGGAACUUUAAGCAACUGUCGUACAAAUUGAAAGAUUACAUAGGUAUACAACCAGUUUUUACCCACCAUAAUCCGUCUUAGAUUUACUUGAUCACUUGCCUUUGCGAAGCACACAGAAAUGAAAAAGGAAAAUAAAUACUUUUUUACAAAGCCAUUUUCGAAUAAAUUUAAUUUAUGUAUUACAUGUUUAAAUACUAACGGCG
rnacentral:lncRNA from 1 species